rnacentral:tRNA from 1 species
GCGGUUGUGGCUCAGUGAUAGAGCGCUUGCCCAGCAUGCAUGAGGCACUGGGUUUGAUCCCCGGCACCACA